AGAGUUUGAUCCUGGCUCAGGACGAACGCUGGCGGCGUGCUUAACACAUGCAAGUCACGGGGGGUGGGGCAACCCAUCAACCGGCGAACGGGUGCGUAACACGUGAGCGACCUGCCCAGUUGCGGGGGAUAGCCGGCCCAACGGCCGGGUAAUACCGCAUACGCUUCCCUGGGGGCAUCCUUGGGGAAGGAAACCUACGGGGCGAUUGGAGGGGCUCGCGGCCUAUCAGCUAGUUGGUGCGGUCACGGCGCACCAAGGCGAUGACGGGUAGCUGGUCUGAGAGGAUGGCCAGCCACAUUGGGACUGAGAGACGGCCCRGACUCCUACGGGAGGCAGCAGUGGGGAAUCUUGCGCAAUGGCCGAAAGGCUGACGCAGCGACGCCGCGUGGAGGAUGACGCCCUUCGGGGUGUAAACUCCUGUUGCCCGGGACGAAUGCCCCUUUAGAGGGGAGUGACGGUACCGGGUGAGGAAGCACCGGCUAACUCUGUGCCAGCAGCCGCGGUAAUACAGAGGGUGCGAGCGUUGUCCGGAAUCACUGGGCGUAAAGGGCGCGUAGGCGGCUCGGUAAGCGUGUGGUGAAAGCCCGGGGCUCAACCCCGGGUCGGCCAUGCGAACUGUCGAGCUGGAGCACGGUAGAGGCACAUGGAAUUCCGGGUGUAGCGGUGGAAUGCGUAGRGAUCCGGAAGAACACCGGUGGCGAAGGCGGUGUGCUGGGCCGUAGCUGACGCUGAGGCGCGACAGCGUGGGGAGCAAACAGGAUUAGAUACCCUGGUAGUCC
rnacentral:rRNA from 1 species